GGAGUUUAGCAUUCCCCCGUGCAUGCACGUGGAUGGCCAGCCAGGCGUGCAUGUACACAAACAAUAUACACAGGGGGAAGGAUUAGCUAAAACUGCUUGCCUUUUUUUUUUUUUUUUUUUUUUUCCCCUCCUGAUUUCAAAAGAAAGCCUCUGUUGAAAUACUUCAGUCGCUUGCAUGGUGGUGGGGAUCACUGAAACGGGAUCUUGCUGGCAUGGAGAAGCUGCAGGAGGGCUCCUCAAACAUGUAGCUGAGACUUCUAUAUGCAAAACUGCAACUGCACACCCUACCCAUAUGUAACGCACCUUCCCCAGCAUUGCCAUCCUCUUCCCAAAGGCAGGGUGAGCCUGCAGGAGCGAGGCUGAGCAGGGGAUGGGCAGGCACUGAUGGCUGUGGCAGGAGGAGGGAUGCUGCAUGUCCUGGGGUGUGGCAUGGCAUGGGCAAUGCAGCCUGACAAGCAGCUCACCCAUGGAUGCUUUUGGGGGUCUGCAGAGGCAGCAGGCUGCAGGGGGUGGCUUGCAGCAUUUGUGCCAAGGCACAGCUCUGCUGUGAUGGUGGGGAAUGAGCUGCUGGAGAUAUCGGAUUGAUUCAGCAGGGGAAAAAGGCUGCCAAACACACAGAGCUGGACCUAUGCUCUCGAGUAGGACCAAUGACAGCAGAGACAACAACAUGAUGAUAGAAGAUAGAAAGCCUUUGGGCCUCUCAUUUCUCGGCACAGAACUACUUGGCCAAGACGCGCCGCGGCAGCGCUCCGUCCCAAGCAUCCCCUCCUUGUUUACCAGCUCGCAGCAGCUCAGAGGAUCAAGAGUUCAGCGCAGCACUCCAAAGAUGAAGCCGAGUGGAUGCAGAUGCCGUUCAAGGUUGCUUCUCCCCUCCAAGUGGGUGGCAGUGGUGCUUGCUCAGCACUUUGUGACGGGCUCAUCCAGAGGGAGAGCUGCUGGAAACUCCUCUCUACACUGCAAGGGAGAGCAGGGGCUGCUGCCAAGCCAGGAGCUGGCAGAGCCAUCCCCAGCACAUGGGCUGACGUUUGGGCUGGGCUGA
rnacentral:lncRNA from 1 species